CAUCGGACGCAUGGGUGGCAGCUGUGGAUGUGGCGGCGAACCAGUUGGCGUCUUCGCGGAAUCCAAAAUCGUUGCCUGAUGUGAGCUAAGGUGGCCUGGACUCCUCCGUGAAAUGUACGUCUGUGGGCGGCGUCAAUCACCAGGCGCCCGCUGACUCUCAGGGUGCCCUCGUCAUCCAGCAU